rnacentral:rRNA from 1 species
CUUUGGGGAGCUGUAAGUAAGCUUUGAUCCAGAGAUUUCCGAAUGGGGAAACCCAGCAUGAGUUAUGUCAUGUUAUCGAUAUGUGAAUACAUAGCAUAUCAGAAGGCACACCCGGAGAACUGAAACAUCUUAGUACCCGGAGGAAGAGAAAGAAAAUUCGAUUCCCUUAGUAGCGGCGAGCGAAACGGGAAGAGCCCAAACCAACAAGCUUGCUUGUUGGGGUUGUAGGACACUCUAUACGGAGUUACAAAGGACGACAUUAGACGAAUCAUCUGGAAAGAUGAAUCAAAGAAGGUAAUAAUCCUGUAGUCGAAAAUGUUGUCUCUCUUGAGUGGAUCCUGAGUACGACGGAGCACGUGAAAUUCCGUCGGAAU